rnacentral:rRNA from 1 species
CCUACGGGAGGCUGCAGUGGGGAAUAUUGCACAAUGGGGGAAACCCUGAUGCAGCGACGCCGCGUGAGUGAAGAAGUAAUUCGUUAUGUAAAGCUCUAUCAGCAGGGAAGAAAAUGACGGUACCUGAGUAAGAAGCCCCGGCUAACUACGUGCCAGCAGCCGCGGUCAUACGUAGGGGGCAAGCGUUAUCCGGAUUUACUGGGUGUAAAGGGAGCGUAGACGGCAGUGCAAGUCUGGAGUGAAAGGCGGGGGCUCAACCCCCGGACUGCUCUGGAAACUGUACGGCUGGAGUGCAGGAGAGGUGAGUGGAAUUCCUAGUGUAGCGGUGAAAUGCGUAGAUAUUAGGAGGAACACCAGUGGCGAAGGCGGCUUACUGGACUGUAACUGACGUUGAGGCUCGAAAGCGUGGGGAGCAAACAGGAUUAGAUACCCGGGUAGUC